rnacentral:lncRNA from 1 species
GCCUCAAACCGGGGAUGCACUUUUUCCAUUUGUCUUUCAGAGAGCUGAGAGCAGCAGUGUGACUAUGGUCAGGGUGUCCUCCUCUGAAUACAGCAGUAGAAGGAACAGCACUCAGUGCCACUGUGUGGAUCGGACAACAGCGACAAAGUCAUCAGAAUGAGGAAGGUGGCAAGCAGAAUGUGGAGGAACGUGUGUGCCUGUGUACCUAUGUGUGCACACAAAUGUAGGAGAUCUCAGGUCCAUCCUGCGGUGGGGAUGACGUGCAGACAAUAAAAGGAUGCGGUGCAGCAUGCAUUCAGGAAGCUGGAGCCCAAGCUGGCUACAGAGAGCUGGCUGCAGAUGACACGAACCUCUGGAGCUGGGAGACAGCGCAGGGGAAUGGGAGGCAGUCUGGCUGAAAUGUCCAAGUGGAAGAUGCUCAUAUGAAACUGUUGAGCAACUGGGGAUCUGAUCAUAAGGACAAAGCACCAACGUAAAGGAAGAAAAAUGCCUCAAAGUUAAGGGGAAGAAAGAGCAUGGUAUGCAGCUACUCUUCCUGGGCACACUGUGGUUUUCAAUAGACAGCAUCAUAGAUCACAGAGGACACAAAGU